GAAAUGCGAUAAGUAGUGUGAAUUGCAGAAUUCAGUGAAUCAUCGAAUCUUUGAACGCACAUUGCGCCCCUUGGUAUUCCAUGGGGCAUGCCUGUUCGAGCGUCAUUUGUACCCUCAAGCUCUGCUUGGUGUUGGGUGUUUGUCCCCGUCUCCGCGCGUGGACUCGCCCCAAAGUGAUUGGCAGCCGGCGUACUGGUCCCGGAGCGCAGCACAUGUCGCGCAAACGAGUGCCUUGGUACGGCGGCGUCCAUAAGCCCCUCUCUCACGCUCUUGACCUCGGAUCAGGUAGGGAUACCCGCUGAAAUUAAGC
rnacentral:misc_RNA from 1 species